CAAACUGGGAUUAGAUACCCCACUAUGCUUGGCCCUAAACUUAGAUAUUUUAAAUACAAAAAAUAUUCGCCAGAGAAUUACGAGCUAAACAUGCUUAAAACUCUAAGGACUUGGCGGUACCUCAAACCCACCUAGAGGAGCCUGUUCUAUAAUCGAUAACCCACGAUUCACCUCACCAUCUCUUGCCAACUCCGCCUAUAUACCGCCGUCAAGCUUACCUUAUGAAAGAUAAAAAGUAAGCAAAACAAUCUAAACAAUUAAUAAAUCAGGUCAAGGUGUAGCUUACUGAGAUGGAAGAAAUGGGCUACAUUUUCUAUACUAGAAAUAAUUUACGGAAAGAUACCUUGAAAUAGGUUCUACAAGAAGGAUUUAGCAGUAAACUGGGAAAAGAGAGCCCAAUUUAAGCCGGUCCUGAGGUACGCACACACCGCCCGUCACCCUCUGCAGUCAA
rnacentral:rRNA from 1 species